ensembl:lncRNA
GCCCUCCGCCCCGAAAUCGGCCAGUGAAGUGCGCCCGUGGGUGCCCCCUUCCUCGCCUCCCCGUCACGUGUGCGCUCGGUGGUCGCGAGAGCUCUGUCUGUGUGCUGAUUGACGCCUGACUGUGAGUGAGGGUGGGGGCCAAGGUGUGUCCGGGUUCCCACCUGUCACGCCGGAGACGGCCCGUGGAUGCUCGUGGAAUGAAUGAAGAACACGCGUGGAGCUGCUCUGUGCGGUGCGGCGGUCGUGGGCCGCCCUCCGAGCGUGCCUCCACGGGAGGACGCGGCCGCGCACUGAAGCCCCGUGCCGCGCUGUCCCCGCGGGCUGCCCGGUCCACGGUCCCGGGUGGUGGGAUCCCGCUGGCUUCCCGGCCCCGGCCCCGGCUUGUGCCAUCCCGCGGGCUUCCCGGCCCACAGCCCCGGGUCGUGCGAUGCCGCGGGCUUCCCAGUCCACGGUCCCCAGUUGUGCCAUCCCGCGGGCUUCCUGGCCCACGACCCCGGGUCGUGCGAUCCCGCGGGCUUCCCGGUCCACGGUCCCCAGUUGUGCCAUCCCGCGGGCUUCCCGGCCCACGGCCCCGGCUUGUGCCAUCCCACAGGCUUCCCGGCCCACAGCCCUGGCUUAUGCCAUCCCGCGGGCUUCCCAGUCCACAGUCCCCAGUUGUGCCAUCCCGCGGGCUUCGUGGCCCACGGGCCCCGGCUUGUGCCAUCCGCGGGCUUCACGGGCCCACGGCCCCGGCUUGUGCCAUCCCACGGGCUUCCCGGUGCACGGCCCCGGGUUGUGCCAUCCCAUGGGCUUCCCGGCCCACAGCCCCGGGUCGUGCGAUGCCGCGGGCUUCCUGGUCCACGGUCCCCAGUUGUGCCAUCCCGCGGGCUUCCUGGCCCACGACCCCGGCUUGUGCCAUCCUAUGGGCUUCCCGCUCCACGGUCCCCAGUUGUGCCAUCCCGUGGGCUUCACGGCCUCGGCUUGUGCCAUCCUGCGGGCUUCCUGGCCCACGGCCCCGGCUUGUGCCAUCCCGCAGGCUUCCCAGUCCAUUGUCCCCAGUUGUGCCAUUCCGCGGGCUUCCCGGUGCACGGACCCUGGUUGUGCCAUCCCACGGGCUUCCCGGCGCACAGCCCCGGGUUGUGCCAUCCCAUGGGCUUCCCGGCCCACAGCCCCGGGUCGUGCGAUCCCGCUGGCUUCCCGGUCCGCGGUCCCCGGUCCCCGGUUGUGCCAUCCCGCGGGCUUCCUGGUCCACAGCCCCGGCUUGUGCCAUCCCACGGGCUUCCCGGUCCACGGUCCCGGGUUGUGCCAUCCGGCGGGCUUCCUGGUCCACGGUCCCGGGUUGUGCCAUCCCGUGGGCUUCCCGGUCCACGGCCCCGGGUCGUGCGAUCCCGCAGGCUUCCUGGCCCACGGCCCCGGGUUGUGCGAUCCCCAGGCUUCCUGGGCCAUGGUCCGGGGUUGCGCAGCCACAGGGACGCGCGGCGGGCACCGCGACCUCGGGCGAUUUCUGGGCGGACAUCUAGAGGGUGCUGACCCAGCGGUUCAGGCUGCUGCUACCUGAGGUGCACCCUCUGCGAGGUGGACACAUUGGCCACCGGCAGCCGAAGGGGAACAUGUUUGGGCUUACAAAAAAGACAGCCAGCCAAGGGCACAGCCCAGACAGCAGACAAGGGAGGAGUCGGGGUGACGCGUGACGCCUCUCACUGGGUCUUGGCGCGUCAGCAUCUGAGGAGAGUGGGGAGGUUCUCGGGUUCUGACGAGGGGGCCAGCGUGCGCUCGAACCUGGGCUGGGCACAGGGACGCUUUCAUCCGCGCAGUGCUCGGUGGGGUCCGCCGCCACACUGUGUGCCCUUGGGCCGUGACUUCCCCUCUCUGGCCUCAGUGCCCUCACCUGUACACACACGGAGGCUAAAGUCAGUUCCUGGGGCAGGCGUGCAGCACGCCACAUCCCAUCUGAGUGCUGAAGCCAGCAUUGCCAAGGCACGCGCUGCAGGACAGCCGAUGGUAGCUCACGCGCUGCCUUCCCUGUCACCCACGCGGGAGGAAGACCAGAACUGAGGCCCAGGUGCCCGGUUUCAGCUUGACUCUGGCUGUCGGAGGCAUUUGGGAAGUGAACCAGUGGAUGCAGAAGUCUGUCUCUGUGUCUCUGCCUUUCAAAUAAAUAACAGAUCAGUUAAAAUUAAAAAAAAAUC